GACGAACGCUGGCGGCGUGCCUAAUACAUGCAAGUCGAACGGGGAAAGCUUUCGGGUGAGUACUAGUGGCGCACGGGUGAGUAACGCGUGGAUAAUCUGCCUUAGAGUGGGGGAUAACUAGUCGAAAGAUUAGCUAAUACCGCAUAAGACCACAAGAACUGCGGUUAAGGGGGUCAAAGGUUUUUCGCUCUAAGAUGAGUCCGCGUAAGAUUAGCUAGUUGGUAGGGUAACGGCCUACCAAGGCGACGAGCUUUAACUGGUCUGAGAGGAUGAUCAGUGACACUGGAACUGAGACACGGUCCAGAGUCCUACGGGAGGCAGCAGUAGGGAAUAUUGCACAAUGGAGGAAACUCUGAUGCAGCGACGCCGCGUGAGUGAUGAAGGCCUUCGGGUCGUAAAGCUCUGUCGCAGGGGAAUAACACAAUGAAGGUACCCUGUAAGAAAGGAUCGGCUAACUUCGUGCCAGCCGCCGCCGUAACAC
rnacentral:rRNA from 1 species